rnacentral:rRNA from 3 species
GUUGUAUGGUUAAGUGACGAAGCGUGCAGGGUGGAUGCCUAGGCAGUCAGAGGCGAAGAAGGACGUGCUAAUCUGCGAAAAGCGUGGAGGAGUUGAUAAGAAGCGUUAUUACUCCACGAUAUCCGAAUGGGGCAACCCAGUAGAUGAAGAAUCUACUAUUGUUAACUGAAUUCAUAGGUUAACAAGGCGAACCGGGAGAACUGAAACAUCUCAGUACCCCGAGGAAAAGAAAUCAACCGAGAUUCUGUAAGUAGCGGCGAGCGAACGCGGAAGAGCCGUUAGUGAUAGUAAGUGUGUUAGGAGAAUGUGUUGGGAAGCACAAUCGUAGAGGGUGAUAAUCCCGUAUCCGAAGGCGCAUUUAUGGUACUAAGCUAACAACAAGUAGGGCGGGACACGAGAAAUCCUGUUUGAAGAUGGGGGGACCAUCCUCCAAGGCUAAAUACUCCUGACUGACCGAUAGUGAACCAGUACCGUGAGGGAAAGGCGAAAAGAACCCUGGUGAAGGGAGUGAAAUAGAACCUGAAACCCUGUACGUACAAGCAGUGGGAGCCC